UACGUAGGCAGCGAGCGUUGUUCGGAGUUACUGGGCGUAAAGCGUGCGUAGGCGGUGUCUUAAGUUUGUUGUGAAAUCUCCCGGCUUAACCGGGAGGGUGCGGCGAAUACUGAGAUGCUGGAGUGCCGGAGAGGUAAGCGGAAUUCCUGGUGUAGCGGUGAAAUGCGUAGAUAUCAGGAGGAACACCUGCGGUGUAGACGGCCUACUGGACGGUAACUGACGCUGAGGCACGAAAGCGUGGGUAGCAAACAGG
rnacentral:rRNA from 1 species